rnacentral:rRNA from 1 species
GACGAACGCUGGCGGCGUGCUUAACACAUGCAAGUCGAGCGGUAAGGCCCCUUCGGGGGUACACGAGCGGCGGACGGGUGAGUAACGCGUAGGAAUCUGCCCGGUCGUGGGGGACAACUCGGGGAAACUCGAGCUAAUACCGCAUACGACCAGCACCUUGAAUUGCUUUUACGGACCAGAAGAGCCGAGAGUAAAGAGUGAUUCAAGGUGCUGGUGAAAGCGGGGGACCCAGCACCAUAGCCUUUUGCGGGAGUUUGGAACCGCGCAAGGGUUGGAGAGGCUAAGGUGCUGGGCCUCGCGCGAUCGGAUGAGCCUGCGUUGGAUUAGCUGGUUGGUGGGGUAAAGGCCUACCAAGGCGACGAUCCAUAGCUGGUCUGAGAGGACGACCAGCCACACUGGGACUGAGACACGGCCCA